GCCUGGGUGGUGAAAUUGGUAUACACGCGACACUCAAAAUGUCGUGGUCGCAAGGCCGUGGGAGUUCGACUCUCCCCCCAGGCACCA
rnacentral:tRNA from 1 species